rnacentral:lncRNA from 1 species
UCUAGGGAGAAAAACUUGAGUGAACUGAGAAGACAGACAGCCCGUGACCAAAUUCUGAGAACUCCAACCAUUCACUGGUUGAGUGGAAGAGAACAAGCUCAGAAAAUAAAUGGAGAAAACAUGGUAGGAGGAGCAGAAGAAAAAUGAGGAGAAUGCUGUCUCAUGGAAGACAAGGGAAUUGGUGCACAUGGUAUGGACCCCAGCAAGUCCCCCUCUGCAGGUCAGGUGGGGAUCCAGGGAAGAUGCUGGAGACCAUGUUACAGCUCCAAUCCAAAGGGACUCUGAAGGGAGUUACUAUCCCCACCGGAUAACAGUUUGACAGACUAUCAAGAGACAGGUUACCUAACGAAGAGACAGGACCAUGAUCCAAAUAAGGACAGUAAGACUGAAGCUGAAUCCGGAACAAAGAGACAGAGAGACAGAAAGCAGCAGGUGCUUGCUAGCAAAGCUUGGAGAAGCCUGAACAAGCUGGUCACCCUCACUGUCAAAGACUUUCAUUUCCACGGAAGGGAAACUGAUGACCUGGGACCAUUGGAAGAACUAGGAAACAAACAUGGGAGCUUCGGGGAAGACAGACCAGCCAAAAUUCUCUGAAGGAAGAUGUAAGUGAGGGAAGUCUCUGAGCUGGAUGACUUCACCACUGAAGUGCAAGUGAGAGAACACUGGAGCAUGGUGGAUUGUCAAGUGCCAAGCUGGAAUAGUAAACGUGGUGGUGGGGAGUGGAUCCGGUAAUAAUGGAGAUGGAUGAAGCAGUUCUAAGGACUGCAAAGCUGCGCAGCGGGAACCAACUCCCUACUGCAGUUAUCAUUCGCCUUUAAAGUCUCCGUGUCAAGACACACAGAAAGUGUCUACACCAAAUGGACAAACGUUCCAGGGGGUUUCCUUCCCAACUGCUUAUUAAGAAAUCCAUCCUCUUCACAUCAGUGGGACUUCAUUCUACUCAAAUUCCAUCAAUUCCCAAUAGCUCCAACACGAGGACAAACCCUAGGAGAUGAGGGUGCCAUCUCAAGUCUCUUAUUUUGGUUAUUUAACUGAAUAAGAAAAUGUGUAUAACUGCAGCAAAUUAACUGACCUAGUCAAACAUCCCUGAAUAUGAUAUAAAAUUCACAGACUGUGUUUACCCGUGAAUCCGGCUGAAUUCCAGCUCUGCGUUUCUCAUCCGAGAAGGCACAUUGAUGGCAAUGCAGAGGUGAGGAGGCACUGGUGGAUCUGAAGCGUCUUCAAUCCCACUUCACAGACAGCACGGCAUGGUAUGUUGGCAAGAACAAGGGUUUGGAGACAGGUGGACCAAGUCUUUCUUUAGCAUCCUUGGCCAGCUAUCUAAGCCCUCUGAGCUGAAUGCCCUCACCUAGAAGACAGGAAUA